rnacentral:lncRNA from 1 species
AGCUUCUUCUCUAGAGGGACCAGGAGGAGUCAUUCUAUAAUGAAGAGGCACGGGGUGGAGCCCGGGGACACCCUCGGUGGCAUUGUCGGGCCACAUACCUUUCCCCUCACAUCCUGCGACAGCUGAAUCCGAGCCCGAGGACCACGUGCGGGGCGGUCUCCAGUGUGGAUGGCAGCCCGGCUGGAACGCACUGGCAGGUGGUCCCUGUGCCCCAGAGGCCCCGUUUCCUUCCGGAAGCGAGGCUGCAACUGCUCCAGAUACCCAGCAGGAAGGCCACGUGACAACGGGAGGGGCACUCCUGUGUGUGUAGGGGCGAGGGGGUGGCGGUGCCAGGGUCCUGCAGUUCACCAGGUGCCCACGUGCCUGCCACCCGAGCGCCAUUCACUCCCGACCGCGGGGACCUGGGGCACAGCCGGGCCCACUGCGGCGAGGCGAGGAGAUGUGGGGAGAGGAAGAGCGGCGUCCACGAUGUGCUCAUUUAGGCUUGAUUUUCCUCCUGCCCUCCUGUCUCCCUCCCUGGCUUCACCCACAAGGCUUUCUUCUCGGGCUGAUUUCUGUGGGAGCUCUCUAGGCAGAACCCUCAGUCUCUGAAAGUCGGGUUCGUCGUCCGGGUCUGCGCAGGGCAUGGAUCUUGAGCGCUUGGAAUGUGACUUAACUGAGAAACGCUACUUUAUUUUAAUAAGUUUACAUCUAAAAGCCGAUCAUUGAUUCCAUUAUUUGGAAAACAACUUCUAAGUGUGUUUGGAGCAACUCGGAUAUUGGAAUCUUUUAAACUGUAAAUUUUAUGAAAUCUAAAUAACGACCAAAUAUCUACAAGGAAAAUCUAGCAUCUGAAUCGAGUGUGCUGUCAGUGUAAAACACACACCAGAUUUCAAAGAUUUACUGCAGAAAAAAACACAUGAAAAUACUGGUUACAUGUGGAAAUGAUAGUAUUUUAGAUCUGUUGGAUUAUCUAAAAUUAAAUUUAAAUUAAUGUCACUGGUUUUUUUUUUUUUACCUUUUUCUAGUGUGGCUACCGGAAAGUUUAAAUUUCAUACGUGUCUCAUGUUAUAUUUUAUUACAUUUCUCUCGGCCUGUGUGCUCUAGAUGGUUGAUUUGGCUGGAUUGAGAUGAGGUGAUGGCCAUCCUAAAGGAGGGCCUGAGUUCCCUCUGCCGACCUAUGGCUCUCACUGCUAUGCCUCCCUGAUCAUUCAGCCAGUGGAUGUGGAAUUCAGGGAGAUGAGAGAUGCUCAUUUCCUGCUCCAGGAGUGCUCUCCCCAGUGGGGUGGGAGCAAGUCCAAGGAGUGAGUGCUUCGUGGGAACUCUGGCUUCCCGGCUGUCUUCAUGCCUGUGCGUGGCCAUGACACCUGGCAGGAUGCCAGAGCAGGGAGAGCAGAAGCAUCCUGUGUUCUAGCAGAGUACAGACCAUCAGAAAUGUUUCAAUUCCAAAGCUGGGCCAGGUACUGUCACCCACUGGAGCCAAAGUACCCUUGAACAGUUCACCUCUCUCAGGCUUAGGGUGAUUAUAGUGAAAAUUGGAUGCUUUUCUAAAUAAGGCAAACAAUGAUGGUACCUAUUUUAUAACCUUUACUGGACUGCCUCUUUUUGCCCCAGUCAGAAUGUGAAGUCUGGAUUUAGACAAAAGAUUAUUUGGACGGGUGAUAGUAUGUUUUGCAAAAAGAAUUCAAAAUAAGGUAACAGGCAACCAAGAGGGGCUGCCCACCUACUAGGUUUAAUACUCUCAGGAGUAAAGAGACAUAGGACCUGUUCCCUGUAUCAUGUCCCCUUGGUUGGGAACACCUCCCUCUUUUCCAUCCAUCUGUUCAAAUCUGAGCUAUUUGUUCAAGGUGCAGCUCCGAUCCCACCUCCUCCAGGGUCUUUAUUUAAUUCCUCUAGGCUUCCCAGCACCAUUAAGCAGCUUCGCGACCUGCAGCCACACAUGCCAUAGGCCUCCAUCCUCAGGAAAGUGAUUGAGUCUAUCAGCUUAUUUUCCUUUGGAGCCAGGUUCUAAGAAGUGGAUGCGAGUGACAUUAUUAUUCUGAUUAGUUACCUAUCCCCAUAACAGGGAGCUACAGAGUGCUUUGCAAAUAGUAAUGCUUUAACCUCGCCUCCAAAAAAAAAAAAAGAACAGCCUGAUGUGAAAAACAUUUAUAAUUUCUUGUAGUUACAGUGUGUAUCUUCAUUAUAAUCAUUCUUACAAUAAAUACAGAAGUGCUAAACAGACCAUUAUCACAGUGGCCUGUGGGCUGAGGCACAGGAACUGAGGGGUGCUGCAGACACCAGUGCUUCUCCAGGGCUGGCCAGGACACCUUCAGAGAGGCUAGUGAAGAGGAGAGGAAUGUAGGGUGAAUUUGAAAUGUGAUUAAUAGAGUCAAUGCAGCACAUGCUAGAAACAGAUACAGAGUUUUUUGUUGUUUUUUAACUAUUUUACCAGAUGAUACUAACUAAACAAACAGAACAAAGAAAGAGAUUCAAGAUCUCACAUGAGUGAGAAUCCAGGGCCUUCCCCUCUGGCCCUGGCCCCAGCCUGGGCCUUGUUUUUGCUAUUUCCACCUAGGCAUCUGCCAUGCAGCAGAGUUAGGAGCGUGUGGGCGGCUGCUGAGACUCACACACCACAGUACUGGCAUCCUUCAGGGGCAGCUGGCAUCAGUGGAAUGAGUGCGGAUCCGAAGAAAGGUUUCCCAGUUCCAAAGCUGGACCCACAGGAAUCCUGUGAGGAUUUGCAAAGACAUUGAUAGUGUUGGUUCUUGGAGCAUCUUUCUGCCUCCCGGGCUUUGUCUGGUCUCAGCCUCGGGGCUGCAAUCCAGGGCUGUGCUGAGCAGCAAGAGGAGAGGAGAAAUGCCACUGUCUUGCACCUCCCAGUAAGUCUCCCUUUUCAUGAACAGCCCUUGUGCCAGGUACAAUGGUCUCUCUGUUCUCUCACAAAACUCAUCCACAAAAGAUAUACAGAGUCUUUUGACAGACAGUCCCACUGCUCUGGAGUCCUUUAUGUUCAUUUCUGAUUGACAAUUUUGGACCAAGGCCAAGAGGCCCCCUAAUUCAUGUUGCUUCGUCAUGAGGGUUGUCCUUGUCAUCUGAUGAUGCAUGAGGCAUGCUAAUGGCAAGGCCGGGAUGCCACCCCAGGCUUCGAGGCUGUUAGAGGUCUUGAGUGCACACACACACACAAACACACAGAGAGACACACACACAUUUGAGCUCCCAUUAGGUCACUUGUAACUUUGCCUAGCAAAACAGGCUCCCAAGACAUAAGGCUUGCCAUCGUUGUGAAAAGUUGUGAUGGUACAGAAUAAUUUUUUUUUUUUUUUUUUUGAGAUGGAGUCUCGCUCUGUCACCCAGGCUAGAGUGCAGUGGCAUGACCUUGGCUUACUGCAACCUCCGCCUCCUGGGUUCAAGCGAUUCCAGAAGAGAGAAUUCUUAGAGUCAGAGGGAGGAGUAGAAGGAAAAAGAUAUUUAAAAAGCUAUGCUUCAAGAGGACAUUUCAUGCUGUCAAAAUGAGACUGUGAAUCAGAAAGUUCUCGGGGAACUGCAAGGUGCUCUCAACUAGGGGUCGGUUCCUUCUCAGUCAUGGCACUGACUCAUCUCCACAGGGUUCUCACCUGCGGGAGGAAAAUGGAGGAGUUGCGCCUGUCAGAAACUGUCUGUGUGAUUCGGGGAAGAAUAUGGAGUAUCUUAGUAGCAUUCCAUUAUUACUUGCCCCUAAAUACAUGAUGCCAGCCCCCUGCACAGAUAACCUCCUGCUUUUAUAGCUUGAAAUAUAUUUGAUCUAAACCACGAUUUGACAUCUUCAGAGAGAGAGAAGUAGAUAAAAGUCUCCAUUCCAGGUUGGCAGUAGGGAUCCUGCAGAAGUGGCUGAAAUGAAAUUUGGCCUACAGAGAAUAAGUUCUACAGUCAUUUUGUUUCUGCCUAUUUCCUCCAGAUUCAAAGGCAGAUUGGGUCAUCUCGGAACUCAUGUCUCCUCCAGGACACAGCAACAACACAUUUUCAAGGAACAGCCUCAUUAUUUGUAAAAUCUGUAGAGUAUAAAACAUAACUGCUCCACUGACAGGAGGUUGGAUUUGGACUUAAUAUUGUAUUAUUCUGUCCUUACAUUAUGGCUUGAUAAACAGAAUGUGAUUCCAAUUCUGAUUCCAAAGUGAGACUCUCCCAGAUCAUCCAUGUCUUCUCAUUCUCUUUGUCCCUCUAGCUCUCUCUCCCUUCUCAUCCCCACCAAGAAGUGGAACUUGAACCUGCCAUUCCCUAAGGUCUGUGCAGUGUCUGUGAUCCAGAGGACAGGACUGUGAAAGUGUCCCUAAUAUAUCACAAUGUAUAUCUCUUGUUUUCUUUUUCUCUCUACAACUUGAUCCUUCCUGUCCCCAUUUGUCCCCGAGUUGUAAGGUGCAGAUUAAAGGUUUUGUCAUAGCAGAAGGAAAUCAGAGGGAGAUGCCCCGUCUCCAGAGGAAAGAAGUUGAGUUUCCCAAGCAAAACCUAAGCAGAGAGUGCACAUUCUUGUCUGAAAGCUUGGAGAAGCAGCAGAAUUUCCAGGACACUUGAAAGCACGCUCUGGCAAAGCCCCGGAUGAAAGUGUUUUCCAACCAUUAAUGGCCCACCAGCAUGGCUUGGUUUGUGAUUCCAGAAUUCAGACCACUUCACAAUCUCACACAGUUACAGCAAGCAGCUUUGAAUUCCUGCUGCUUGGUCUGAGAGUGCAUCCCAUCCAUCGAUCGGAUGGCUCUGGGGUGGCCAUGGUCCCAAGGCAAGGAGGCACCCAGCAGAGGAUCCCUGAGGCCUGGCAUGUUUGCAGAUUGAGCUACAGAGAACACCUUGAGGUGUCGCAAGUGUCCAGAGAGCCGAAGUGUGUAGGGUCCAAAGCAAGGUCCUUCCUGGAUGUGCCCGGGAGCUCCGGGGACCUCAAGCGUGGGCCUCAGUCUCCAUCUUGGUGGCUGGCUUGUAAAUGACUCCCUUGUUAUCACCUUUUUUGAUACUAGAACAGAAAGAACACAUAACUCUUGUUAGAGAGGAGAGCGAGCGAGC